GCCAGCAGCUAGCUCUCUGCAACUCUCACAUGGUCGCCCACUGAAGCUAAGCAGGGCUGUGCCCGGUCAGUACCUGGAUGGGAGACCACAUGGGAAAGCUAGGUUGCUGCCGGAA
rnacentral:rRNA from 1 species